CAUUUCCAUUGAACAUCUGGCUGUCCUGUAGAAAACAAGGCUUCCUAAACUCAACAAUAAGGCAUCUUAAGCAGAAGACAGCUUGGAAAGUGGUUGCAAGGUGGGUUCAAA
rnacentral:lncRNA from 11 species